CGGGUGAGUAACACGUAGGUGACCUACCGGUUUGUGGGGGACAACAGGGAGAAAUUCCUGCUAAUACCGCAUAAGUUCAGUGAAUUUGGAAGUAACUGAAGAAAGAUGACCUCUCCUUGGAAGUUAUCGCUGACCGAUGGGCCUGCGGGCCAUUAGCUUGUUGGUGGGGUAAAGGCCUACCAAGGCGACGAUGGCUAGCCGGUCUGAGAGGACGAUCGGCCACACUGGAACUAAGACACGGUCCAGACUCCUACGGGAGGCAGCAGUAGGGAAUAUUGCGCAAUGGGGGAAACCCUGACGCAGCAAUGCCGCGUGAGUGAGGAAGGCCUUCGGGUUGUAAAGCUCUGUCAGCAGAGACAAACCGUCUAAGAGAUAAUACCUCUUAGGCCUGAUGGUACCUGCAGAGGAAGCACCGGCUAGCUUCGUGCCAGCAGCCGCGGUAAUACGAAGGGUGCGAGCGUUGUUCGGAUUUAUUGGGCGUAAAGCGCGCGCAGGCGGAUCUGUAAGCCAGGUGUGAAAUCUCGGGGCUCAACCCCGAAACUGCGCCUGGAACUGCAAAUCUAGAAUCCCGGAGGGGGUAGGGGAAUUUCGCAUGUAGGGGUAAAAUCCGUAGAGAUGCGAAGGAACACUUGAGGCGAAGGCGCCUACCUGGACGGGAAUUGACGCUGAGGCGCGAAAGCGUGGGGAGCAAACAGGAUUAGAUACCCUGGUAG
rnacentral:rRNA from 1 species